rnacentral:rRNA from 1 species
CGCGCAGGCGGGCGGACAAGUCGGGAGUGAAAGCCUGGGGCUCAACCCCGGGAGGCCUUUCGAUACUGUCCGUCUGGGGACCGGUAGAGGCAGGUGGAAUUCCCGGUGUAGCGGUGGAAUGCGUAGAGAUCGGGAAGAACACCCGUGGCGAAGGCGGCCUGCUGGGCCGGAUCCGACGCUGAGGCGCGAAAGCGUGGGGAGCAAACA